UACGGAGGGUGCAAGCGUUGUUCGGAAUCAUUGGGCGUAAAGCGCGUGUAGGCGGUUUCGUAAGUCUGAAGUGAAAGCCCAGGGCUUAACCCUGGAAGUGCUUUGGAUACUGCAAAACUAGAGGACUGGAGAGGAUGGUGGAAUUCCUGGUGUAGGGGUGAAAUCCGUAGAUAUCAGGAGGAACAUCAGAGGCGAAGGCGGCCAUCUGGCCAGUAACUGACGCUGAGACGCGAAAGCGUGGGGAGCAAACAGG
rnacentral:rRNA from 1 species